UACAGAGGGUGCAAGCGUUGUUCGGAAUUACUGGGCGUAAAGCGUGCGCAGGCGGCUUCUCAAGUCAGGGGUGAAAGCCCAGAGCUCAACUCUGGAAUUGCCUUUGAGACUGAGUGGCUUGAGUACGAGAGAGGUGAGUGGAAUUCCCAGUGUAGAGGUGAAAUUCGUAGAUAUUGGGAAGAACACCGGUGGCGAAGGCGGCUCACUGGCUCGUAACUGACGCUCAUGCACGCAGCGUGGGGAUCAAACAGG
rnacentral:rRNA from 1 species